rnacentral:misc_RNA from 1 species
ACGACGCGCCAGCUCAACGGAACGAGUAUUUCGGUUCAUCGCUUCACCAGUCACCACCCCGACAGAGACCGCCACCGUUGUCAAGCAUGUUGGGUGCACCGAGUCCGGCAGCAGGCGAAUUCAGACGCCGUCUUGCACGGCUUCAGGGGUGAAGGGCGGACUAGGCAGCAGAGGCACUAACGGGCCGAAGAUCUUGGCAGCCCUCUCCGCGCCAAGGGGCAGCACCAUCCGCGAGAACCCUCAAAGAGCUCUGAAGACAGGGCUGCCCGUCGGGUGGCCGGUAGAGGGACAAGACAAUGAGGUGCUCACAGGGGUGGAAGCUUGCCACGCGGGAAGACGACACCCCACGGAGCUGCCUUUUCCUCUGCCAGAGUGCACGCCAAUGCAGCUGUGUUGCGCGUGCAGACGACCGGCGAUGCUCACGGAGGACCUGACCGGAGCGGGGCUGUACCGCCAAGUCAGCACUGCGGAGAGAAGCGACUGCUCACCCCUGCCCAUGUGCCCUCGAACACGCUUGUCUGUUUCUCUGCGUUUCCUUUUUCGUCAUGUUUCUUUUUGAUAGGCAAAUUUCGUAAAAGAAACGCAAAAAAUAAACCGAAGGUUUCCUGCUGAUUAUGCUGCUGGUGCUGGUGCUGGAUGAUGAUGGUGCGGAGUGGCUCUCUUCGUAAUGUUUAUUAUCGUUAUCCUCUGCGUGCUCUUUUUCUAUUCACCUGUGUCGUGCCGUUGCCUUCUUUGCGGCGCUGCUGUGCGUGUGCGUGUGUUGGAACCCCUCAUGAGGUGAAGGAGGAAGGCAUGAGAAAGAUAUCGAUGGAGGUAUAGAGGUUCUCGAUCUCUCGCUCGCCCUGCGCCUCGUUCCCAUUCGCCCACGUCGCCGUGGCCAUCCGCACGCAACGGCCGAUCCACCGCGACGUGGCGCACAGCAAGAGUGCACGGUAUCGAGUCUUGCUGCUUAAAAGCGGCACUUGCGCAGACCAUCUAACCCAUACCAUGCACAUGCACGAUCCUGUGACGUGUUUCUCUUCCCAUCUUCUCGUUAACACUUGCUUCUCUUUCCCUGCGUCCACACGCUUCUGUUUGGUACUGCUCUGCACUCCUGCCGCCACCUUCCCUUCCUCGCACCUCCGACCUCAUCAAG